AGCGCUGUAGCAAUACAGAGCGGCGCACGGGAGAGUAAUACAUGGGAACCUACCUAUUGGUUCGGGAUAACGUCGGGAAACUGACGCUAAUACCGAAUAAGUCCUUCGGGAGAAAGAUUUAUCGCCGAUAGACGGGCCCAUGUUGGAUUAGCUAGUUGGUGAGGUAACGGCUCACCAAGGCUACGAUCCAUAGCGGGUCUGAGAGGAUGAUCCGCCUCACUGGGACUGAGACACGGCCCAGACUCCUACGGGAGGCAGCAGUGGGGAAUAUUGGACAAUGGGGGCAACCCUGAUCCAGCCAUGCCGCGUGAGUGAUGAAGGCCUUCGGGUUGUAAAGCUCUUUUGGUGGGGACGAUGAUGACGGUACCCACAGAAUAAGCCCCGGCUAACUUCGUGCCAGCAGCCGCGGUAAUACGAAGGGGGCUAGCGUUGUUCGGAAUUACUGGGCGUAAAGGGCGCGUAGGCGGCUUGGCAAGUUGGGUGUGAAAGCCCAGGGCUCAACCCUGGAAUUGCACUCAAGACUGCUUUGCUUGAAUUCGGUAGAGGUUGGUGGAAUUCCCAGUGUAGAGGUGAAAUUCGUAGAGAUUGGGAAGAACACCCGUGGCGAAAGCGGCCAACUGGACCGACAUUGACGCUGAAGCGCGAAAGCGUGGGGAUCAAACAGGAUUAGAUACCCUGGUAGUCCACGCCGUAAACGAUGCAUGCUAGACGUUGGA
rnacentral:rRNA from 1 species